GUAUUUAAGAGAUGAAACCUUUCAUCUCAGGUUUAGUUGUGAGGAAUUUACAUUUGUACUAGUUUUUCAUCAAAUACUGCUCAUCCAAAACAGUGCAUUUCUUGCCAUAGCUUUCUUAUACGUGAGAUCUAGUCUACUAUGAUGCUGUGACUGUUGGGGAUGCUGUGAUGACAGCAAUACUAUUUCAGAGCAAAAAACCAUCCACCCUAACAGCCCCUCACUCUGAGUAGCCAGUCUGGUCUUUAUGAAUACGUAAGAAGAAAGAGUUGAAAUAGAAAUUCUACAGGUUUUCAGGACUUGUGGUCUGAGGAUCUCUAAAAUCAGUAGUACCUGAUCUGCCUUGAGUACCCACAGCUGGCCUUUUCUCCCCUACACCUGUGCCUAAUUGUGUGAACCCAUGCAGCCCUUUAACUUCUGCAAUAUCCUGUUGCAGGGAGCAAUGCGACUCAACUGGAAAUAAAAGGAGGAUGAACCCCUAAACUUUGAAAAUGCCAACAUGUCUGGGGAUACUGAAUCUCCUUCUGUAACAAUGAAGGUUGUCGUGUGGGUAUCUGCUGAUGAAGAAAGUGUGUGAGGAUAAGAGAAGUGACAAAAGGGGAAAAAAAAAAAAAGGAAGAAGAAAAAAAAGGCAUAAUGGCUAGAUAUCAUGUGAGUAGGGAAAGGAUUGAUGUUUCUCCUAUAAUCUGGAUUUCAAGGAAUUUUUGAAAAAGAGAUUGCUUAAAAGAAGUGUGAAGUACAUUAAGCCAUCUUCCACUCUUCUCCUAAAAAGGACUGGAAGAGUUGAACAAUCCAAGCUGGAAAAUUCCUGAAUCAAAUCACGCCAUAAUUUUGAGAUAUUUAUAAGAAUUGGAAGUCCUAAAAGCAUCACUGUUGGACCGGACCUCUUGCUGGCUUGAGAAAUGUUGGCAGAUCUAACAAUAUAUUGAUGAGUGCAAUUACAAAUGAAUUUCAGCUAUUGCUUUAGUUGUGCCUAUGAUCUCGUCCUUUUGCACAGGCUGACCCUACCAUGUGCAGAUGGGGUUCGAGUGUGAGCUGCCAUGUGCUGGCAUCAGGAUGGCAGCAGGACAUGGUUCCCAAAGGCCCUACUUGUCCUCUCCAGUGCAAGCAUCAAUCAGUGCAGUCAUGCUAAAAUACCUAUCAAGCACGUGGCUUUUGUCUUUCUAAUUGCAGGAAAACUGCCUAACUGGUGAUUGAAACUCUUCUCUGGUAAUUGAAGUUCCUCUGCGCUUGACCUAAUGCCUCAUAAUGCAUUCUUGCUCUAUUCUCUUUACACUCAAAUAUUCUGCCUGUUGUGUCUUGCAGCUUAAUAAAAAAAUGCAUAGAACUCUUUGCCAGGACACUUAAGCAGCCUUCAUUAGUUUCCUGUUGGUGUGUUGUUGGCUGAUUUUCAAGGUAAAGUUGUCAAGUUGUGUGGAUCAAAGCCCAUACAGAUGUUACCCAUGGGUGACCCUGAGGGAAAGAAUGGGAACAUCCCUUUAGUUUUUCCUGUACUCACUGGUAAUUUUCAGGCUGUUGCAGUCACAGAAAUAUGUUUACAAUGGACUCGACUCAGGCUGUAAACUACGGUCAGGUGCCCAUGC